GCCCCCGUAGAUCAGCGGUAGAUCAUCUUCAUUUCAUAGUAGCGAUCAGAGAUGUUAUGAAGACGUCGUAGGUUCUAAUCCUACUGGGGGCA